GGCCAAUAAAGGUGCUCAUCGUGGCAGAGGCGGCAUAUGGGAAGGCACUAGAAAGCGCCGCCUCUGAGAUGGGCACGGCCAAUAAAGGUGCCCAUCGUGGCAGAGGCGGCAUACGGGAAGGCACUAGAAAGCGCCGCCUCUUAGACGGGCAGGGAAAAUAAAGGGGCCCAUCGUGGCAGAGGCAGCAGCCGGGAAGGCAGACACUAGAAAGCCUCGCCUCUUAGAUGGGCACGGCAAAUAAAGGUGCCCAUCGGGGCAGAGGCGGCAUAUGGGAAGGCACUAGAAAGCGCCGCCUCUGAGAUGGGCACGGCCAAUAAAGGUACCCAUCGUGGCAGAGGAGGCAGCUGGGAAGGCACUAGAAAGCGCCGCCUCUUAGAGGGGCAGGGCCAAUAAAGGUGCCCAUCGUGGCAGAGGAGGCAGCUGGGAAGGCACUAGAAAGCGCCGCCUCUUAGAGGGGCACAGCCAAUAAAGGUGCCCAUCGUGGCAGAGGAGGUAGCUGGGAAGGCACUAGAAAGCGCCGCCUCUUAGAUGGGCACGGCCAAUAAAGAUGCCCAUCGUGGCAGAGGUGGCAUACGGGAAGGCACUAGAAAGCGUCGCCUCUUAGAUGGGCACGGCAAAUAAAGGUGCCCAUCGGGGCAGAGGCGGCAUAUGGGAAGGCACUAGAAAGCGCCGCCUCUUAGAGGGGCACGGCCAAUAAAGGUGCCCAUCGUGGCAGAGGAGGCAGCUGGGAAGGCACUAGAAAGCGCCGCCUCUUAGAUGGGCACAGCCAAUAAAGAUGCCCAUCGUGGCAGAGGUGGCAUAUGGGAAGGCACUAGAAAGCGCCGCCUCUUAGAGGGGCCCGGCAAAUAAAGGUGCCCAUCGGGGCAGAGGCGGCAUAUGGGAAGGCACUAGAAAGCGCCGCCUCUUAGAGGGGCAUGGCCAAUAAAGGUGCCCAUCGUGGCAGAGGAGGCAGCUGGGAAGGCACUAGAAAGCGCCGCCUCUUAGAUGGGCACGGCCAAUAAAGAUGCCCAUCGUGGCAGAGGCGGCAUAUGGGAAGGCACUAGAAAGCGCCGCCUCUUAGAGGGGCCCGGCAAAUAAAGGUGCCCAUCGGGGCAGAGGCGGCAUAUGGGAAGGCACUAGAAAGCGCCGCCUCUUAGAGGGGCACGGCCAAUAAAGGUGCCCAUCGUGGCAGAGGAGGCAGCUGAGAAGGCACUAGAAAGCGCCGCCUCUUAGAGGGGCAGGGCCAAUAAAGGUGCCCAUCGUGGCAGAGGAGGCAGCUGGGAAGGCACUAGAAAGCGCCGCCUCUUAGAUGGGCACGGCCAAUAAAGAUGCCCAUCGUGGCAGAGGUGGCAUACGGGAAGGCACUAGAAAGCGCCGCCUCUUAGAUGGGCACGGCAAAUAAAGGUGCCCAUCGGGGCAGAGGCGGCAUAUGGGAAGGCACUAGAAAGCGCCGCCUCUUAGAUGGGCACGGCCAAUAAAGAUGCCCAUCGUGGCAGAGGUGGCAUACGGGAAGGCACUAGAAAGCGCCGCCUCUUAGAUGGGCACGGCAAAUAAAGGUGCCCAUCGGGGCAGAGGCGGCAUAUGGGAAGGCACUAGAAAGCGCCGCCUCUUAGAUGGGCACGGCCAAUAAAGAUGCCCAUCGUGGCAGAGGUGGCAUACGGGAAGGCACUAGAAAGCGCCGCCUCUUAGAUGGGCACGGCAAAUAAAGGUGCCCAUCGGGGCAGAGGCGGCAUAUGGGAAGGCACUAGAAAGCGCCGCCUCUUAGAGGGGCACGGCCAAUAAAGGUGCCCAUCGUGGCAGAGGAGGCAGCUGAGAAGGCACUAGAAAGCGCCGCCUCUUAGAGGGGCAGGGCCAAUAAAGGUGCCCAUCGUGGCAGAGGAGGCAGCUGGGAAGGCACUAGAAAGCGCCGCCUCUUAGAUGGGCACGGCAAAUAAAGAUGCCCAUCGGGGCAGAGGCGGCAUAUGGGAAGGCACUAGAAAGCGCCGCCUCUUAGAUGGGCACGGCAAAUAAAGGUGCCCAUCGGGGCAGAGGCGGCAUAUGGGAAGGCACUAGAAAGCGCCGCCUCUUAGAGGGGCACGGCCAAUAAAGGUGCCCAUCGUGGCAGAGGAGGUAGCUGGGAAGGCACUAGAAAGCGCCGCCUCUUAGAGGGGCAGGGCCAAUAAAGGUGCCCAUCGUGGCCGAGGAGGCAGCCGGGAAGGCACCGAGAAAGCAUCACAUCUCCCUCAGCCAGAGCCCAGCUGAGGACUGAGGACAUAAGGGUGGUGUUUGAGGAAAUGAUGGCGAUCAAGGUGGACAGUCUUAAAACCGUGUUUCAUUACGAUAACCCUCCAUGUUCAUUCCUCAAACACUUGUGGAACACUUAAUGCUCCUUUAGUUAAAUCGGGUAAUUCAAAUAUUGGUCUUUGGGGAACAAAAGCUCUCUACAAAGAGUCUGGCAAAGAUCCUCUCCCUGGAUAAUUAACUUCUAGUCUAGGUAUGCUUUCCCUCCCUGUCACUUCAUCUCUAUUAGGAAAUAAAAUGGCCAAAGUAUCUCAUGGUUUUCAGAUACCAUUGCAGAAAUGCAAUGGAAAAGUCUUAAAUACGAUGAAUUAUUUUUAAUGUGUUUUUAGAAUUCAUAUCCUCGUUAAGCUAAAUGUAUUAUAACCACACCAGAUUUAACUUCUGUUAUACAAAAAGUACUUGAUUUCAAAUUAUUUUGAUUGAUUUGUUUAAAUCCAAUGAAUCAUUUUUAAUGUGUUUUUAGAAUUCAUACCCUCGUUAAGCUAAAUGUAUUAUAACCACACCAGAUUUAACUUCUGUUAUACAAAAAGUACUUGAUUUCAAAUUAUUUUGAUUGAUUUGUUUAAAUACAAUGAAUCAUUUUUAAUGUGUUUUUAGAAUUCAUACCCUCGUUAAGCUAAAUGUAUUAUAACCACACCAGAUUAAAGUUCUGUUAUACAAAAAGUA